CCUACGGGAGGCAGCAGUGAGGAAUAUUGGUCAAUGGACGAGAGUCUGAACCAGCCAAGUAGCGUGAAGGAUGACUGCCCUAUGGGUUGUAAACUUCUUUUAUAUGGGAAUAAAACGUUCCACGUGUGGGAUUUUGUAUGUACCAUAUGAAUAAGGAUCGGCUAACUCCGUGCCAGCAGCCGCGGUAAUACGGAGGAUCCGAGCGUUAUCCGGAUUUAUUGGGUUUAAAGGGUGCGUAGGUGGAAUGUUAAGUCAGUUGUGAAAGUUUGGGGCUCAACCGUAAAAUUGCAGUUGAAACUGGCAGUCUUGAGUGCAGUAGAGGUGGGCGGAAUUCGUGGUGUAGCGGUGAAAUGCUUAGAUAUCACGAAGAACUCCGAUUGCGAAGGCAGUUCACUGGACUGCAACUGACACUGAGGCUCGAAAGUGUGGGUAUCAAACAGGAUUAGAUACCCCUGUAGUC
rnacentral:rRNA from 1 species